AUACUUAAGUAGUAAUAGUUAUGUUCUUGAAACUUAAAAAAUUUGGCGGUAUUUUAGUCUAUUCAGAGGAACCUGUUUUGUAAUCGAUAAUCCACGAUGGACCUUACUUAAAUUUGUAAUCAGUUUAUAUACCGUCGUUAUCAGAAUAUUUUAUAAGAAUAAUAAUAUUCAAUAAUUUUUAUUAAAAUUUAUAUCAGAUCAAGGUGUAGCUUAUAUUUAAGUAAUAAUGGGUUACAAUAAAUUUAUUUAAACGAAUAAAACUAUGAAAAAGUUUUUGAAGGUGGAUUUGAUUGUAAAAUUAUAAAGAUUAAUAGUUUGAUUAUAGCUCUAAAAUAUGUACACAUCGCCCGUCGCUCUUAUUAUUAAGGUAAGAUAAGUCGUAACAUAGUAGAUGUACUGGAAAGUGUAUCUAGAAUGA
rnacentral:rRNA from 1 species